rnacentral:rRNA from 1 species
GAUGCCUUACACAUGCAAGUCGAACGGCAGCGACGGACUUCGGUCUGGUGGCGAGUGGCGAACGGGUGAGUAAUGUAUCGGAACGUACCUUCAGUGGGGAUAACGUAGCGAAAGUUACGCUAAUACCGCAUAUUCUGUGAGCAGGAAAGCAGGGGAUCGCAAGACCUUGCGCUGAUUGAGCGGCCGAUAUCAGAUUAGCUAGUUGGUGGGUAAAGGCCUACCAAGGCUACGAUCUGUAGCGGGUCUGAGAGGAUGAUCCGCCACACUGGAACUGAGACACGGUCCAGACUCCUACGGGAGGCAGCAGUGGGGAAUUUUGGACAAUGGGGGCAACCCUGAUCCAGCCAUGCCGCGUGAGUGAAGAAGGCCUUCGGGUUGUAAAGCUCUUUCGGCCGGGAAGAAAUCGCAUAGGCUAAUACCCUGUGUGGAUGACGGUACCGGAAUAAGAAGCACCGGCUAACUACGUGCCAGCAGCCGCGGUAAUACGUAGGGUGCGAGCGUUAAUCGGAAUUACUGGGC